AACGGCCAUAUCACGUUGAAACACCAGUUCCUGUGCGAUCACCGAAGUUAAGAUAACUCGAGCCUGGUCAGUAUCUAAAUGGGUAACCGCUUGGUAAUACCAGGUGCUGUAA